rnacentral:rRNA from 1 species
GGACCUCAGAUCAGGCAAGAUUACCCGCUGAGUUAAGCAUAUCACU